rnacentral:misc_RNA from 1 species
GCGUAUUUCUCGGCUCUGUACUGCAAAGGAUUUCCAUUAACAAGCCGGGGAUAGAAGCCCACAAUGCGAUCAGGGUGCUGACGCCAUACCCUAAAACCUCGUUCAACAUCGUCACAAGUCAUCAUGAUGUCAUCGUCAAGCUCCAAAACAGCUCGAGUUUUUAUUAAAGGAUCCAAUUUAAACCGGUUAUUGAGUGAGUUCUUCUCUUCUAUUCUGAUUCUCACAGGCACAACUGAAUCCAAAUCACUCAUCUUUGGAGGUGUUCCCUUGUUCCACACCACAACAAUCUCUCGAACAGACGAGCAUCUCGAAUAAUGCUUCACAUACAUUUUCAAAUUCCAAAGGCGAGCAUCAUAA